AUCCGCAGGUGAUGUAUUUGGAUUUUCUAUCUUGUUUUCUUUUAUCUGAGCCACAUCAUCAUUCCUGAGUUGUAAUUUCUGUUUCAUGAGGACUUUUUUUUGCUUCUGUCUUCACAGAUUCUAUGCACAUUUGGACUAUAUAGAUGUCAGCAUUUCAUUUAAAGCAGCAUCUGCAGUGAUUCACAAGGGUGUGUAGCAGUGGAGAAGGAAGCAGCAGCUGAAGCGUGUUAGGGUUUCCUGCAGGACAGAGGAGGGAUGGUGGCAUUGUCAUCACAGCAGGCAUUGUUGUUUGACAGGUAAAGCUGUGAAUUUGUUGAAACAGGCAAGAGUAGGGCUUUAUUCACUGGCAGGCUGACACAGACACAGACACAGCGAAGAACAAACUAGCUUCUUCUUCUUCUCCAGACUUUGAUCAUUUGCUUAUCUUUCUGUUUUCUUUUUUUGUUUUACAUGCUGAGAGAGCCAACGUCUGCGGUGGACGAUUAAAGACCAAGUUGUCGACAUCCAUAGAGGUGCUGAGAGACCAAGUGGUGGACGUCCAGAGGAGAGAUGCUGAGAGAUCAAGUGGUGGACGUCCAGAGAGCAGAGGAGGCUGACAGAGACAGGCAGAGGAGGUGUCAGAGGAUGUGCCGUGGAAGCAGAGCUUCUUCUUCUUCUUCUUCUUCUUCUUCUUCUUCUUCUUCUUCUUCUUCUUCUUCUUCUUCUUCUUCUUCUUCUUCUUCUUCUUCUUCUUCUUCUUCUUCUUCUUCUUCUUCUUCUUCUUCUUCUUCUUCUUCUUCUUCUUCUUCUUCUUCUUCUUCUUCUUCUUCUUCUUCUUCUUCUUCUUCUUCUUCUUCUUCUUCUUCUUCUUCUUAAUGGAAUUUUACCUAAAUAAAAAAAAAAAAAAAAAAAAAAGAGUCCAAACUGCAUUGUCGUCAAUUUUUCUGAAAAACAAAGAGUAAAGUGUGAAGAGAGAGAAAAGUAGGAAAGAGGAAAAGAGUAAAGUGUGAGAAAAAAGCAAAGAGAGAAGAGAGGAAAAAGAAGAAAGUUUAAGGAAAGAACAAAGAGAAAAAGAACAAAGUGUGAGGAAAGAGGAAAAAGAACAAAGUGCUGCUUUACUCUUGUGUUUGAUUGUUUCAGAUGCUGAGAGAUCAAGUGGUGGACGUCCAGAGAGGAGAGAUGUGAGAGAUCAAGUGGUGGACGUCCAGAGAGCAGAGAUGCUGAGAGAUCAAGUGGUGGACGUCCACAGAGGAGAGGAGGUUCACAGAGAUGAGUUGCAACAAGAAAACGUUAUGCAUGGUGUCAGAGAUUUGCCGUAGAAGCAGAGCUUCUUCUUCUUCUUCUUCUUCUUCUUCUUCUUCUUCUUCUUCUUCUUCUUCUUCUUCUUCUUCUUCUUCUUCUUCUUCUUCUUCUUCUUCUUCUUCUUCUUCUUCUUCUUCUUCUUCUUCUUCUUCUUCUUAAUGGAAUUUCACCUAAAUAAAAAAAAAAAAAAAAAAAAAAAAAAGAGUCCAAACUGCAUUGUCGUCAAUUUUUCUGAAAAACAAAGAGUAAAGUGUGAAGAGAGAGAAAAGUAGGAAAGAGGAAAAGAGUAAAGUGUGAGAAAAAAGCAAAGAGAGAAGAGAGGAAAAAGAAGAAAGUUUAAGGAAAGAACAAAGAGAAAAAGAACAAAGUGUGGAAAAAGAACAAAGUGUGAAAAUAGCAAAGUAAGAGGAAAGAGGAAAAUAGGAAAGUGUGAAAAUAGCAAAGUGUGAAAAAAGAGGAAAGAGAGUAAAGAGGAAAAAGAACAAAGUGUGAAAAUAGCAAAGUGUGAGAAAAUAGCAAAGUGUGAAAAAAGAGGAAAGAGAGUAAAGAGGAAAAAGAACAAAGUGUGAAAAUAGCAAAGUGUGAGAAAAGAGCAAAGUGUGAGAAAAGAGCAAAGUGUGAGAAAAUAGCAAAGUGUGAGAAAAUAGCAAAGUAAGAGGAAAAUAGCAAAGUGUGAGAAAAGAGGAAAAAGAACAAAGUGUGAAAAUAGCAAAGUAAGAGGAAAGAGGAAAAAGAACAAAGUGCUGCUUUACUCUUGUGUUUGUUUGUUUCAGAUGCUGAGAGAUCAAGCGGUGGACGUUCAUAGAGGAGAGGUGAGUUAGAAACAUGCACAUUGUCAGUCAUUGUAGACAGUAGACUUUGUUGCUUUACUCAUGUGUUUAUUGUGUUUGUUUAUUUCAGAUGCUGAGAGAUCAAGUGGUGGACGUCCAGAGAGGAGAGGUGAGUUAGAAACAUGCACAUUGUCAGUCAUUGUAGACAGUAGAUUUUGUUGCUUUACUUAUGUGUUUA